UCGAAAAUAGUUAAUUUUUGGACCAUUUUACCCCCGGUUCCGAAACCUAUCAAUAUGGGUGUCAUUGGACUCCUUGUGACGUGUAUGUUUCAUUGUUGAUAGUGGGUUGUCAUUCCGGGCGCUGAAUUCGAGAGUUGCUUGUCCGGUGGAGGUAUUCGAGUGCGGCUUCGGCAAUUGAGAUACUAGUCGGGGUACCCCACGUGGCAGUUAAUAUUCUAGCGGAUUGUGUAUUCUCAGAUUAGUGAUUAUCUCAAGAAAAUCAUAGUAGAAGAUCAUUCAAGUCAACAAAAGUCAAAGGAUGUUAUGACCGAAGAGGAAAAACUGCUGCGAGAAGAAAACGAACUUCUGGAGGACCAUAUAGCUACUAUCAAGAAAAACACAAAAGUGAAUGAGAUGUCAAUGGACUUCACUGACCUUCCACCACCCCACAUAAUUUGUGGACAACAGAGAGCGACCCUGAAUUUCCUCUACCGAUUAUUGUUGUAUUUGUCAAAUAGCCCCUUGUUGAGGCCCCGGGAGUAAUAACCUGCAAAAUUAUCACAAGUCAAGGUGUCUCCAAGAAUAGCUAAUAUUGUGCAGUUUCAAUAAAACUAAUUAUUCAUCUGAGCUUUGGCCCUCCGGCUUGUGUUUUCGUUGCAUGUCCAUGAACUUAUUCAUGUUUCUGUUGGAUGAUGAUUAAUUUAUAUCUGUACUUGAGGCCAUGCAAUUGUUUUGUGAAAUUUCUAGAAAAGAAUCAAAACCUAAUAUUGUUAACCUAUAAUACCAUCUUGCAAGGUCUGUAUUAAGUUGGAAGAACUGGUGAAGCAAAACAAAUUUACGCUGAGAUGCUAUUUGUAGGGAGCAAGCCGAAUAUAUACACUCAUGUCACUUUGCUCAAUGGUUAUUUUAAGUGUGGACUUAUUGAAGAAGGGUUGUUGGAUGAAGCUACAGAAAUUCUAAGAAAAAUGAAAGACAACGGUUGUUCUCCAAACAAUGUCACUUAUAAUGUCAUUAUGCAAGGAUUUCUCAGGUGCAACAAAAUUAGUGAAAUGACAUCCUUUAUGAAGGAAAUGUCUGGAAGGGGCUUCUCAUUUGAUGCAACUACAGCUGGUGUUUUGGUAGACAUUGUAAGGGAGAAUUCUUCUGUCAUUGACAUGAUACCAGAGCUUCAAUCGAAUAAUAAGAAGUGAAUAUUUUUUUUGUUUGGUUUAUUCGGCUACGCUAUCGCUGUGAUACAAUUUCCUUAUCAUCCCUGCUAAAGAAAUGGCAUCCAAUGCAAUUGUACAAGCUGAUGGCAAUUAGCAUGUUGCUUGAGCUUUCUACACAGGCCUUUUGAGGAGGCCCUCUUGUGUGCACCUUCAACUAUUCAGCAAGUACAUGCUACCUCCCACCAACACAAGUACCAGAUAUCUUUGACUACCAGAUAUGUUCAGUUGUCUAUGGAAUAUUUAAUCUUGUGGACAAUUUAAGAUAGGAGUAAAACAUGUCUAUUUCCUUCCAAGUUUAGUUUAUCAAGUGAUGCAAUCAUGUUCUGUCAAAAUUUAACCUCGUCUUUAGAAUGUUUUGAAUGUCAGUUGUGAUUGUUUGUUUCUUCUUCAUUAACGUAAUAGAGUGCACCUGAUGUUUAUGAAUGUC